AAUAUUCACCUUUUUAUUCAGAUACCACCAAUGAUCUUAACAUACGUUAUGUAUAAACCUAACAAAUACACAGUUGCAUUAUUUAGGUUAUUUAUGUGAUUGAGCCUAUUCUGCACUUAGGGUACUUAAUUGUACUUGUAUUGCAGUACAACUGGUGUCUUUGCCUACAUUCUCUUUACAAUUUGAAUGAUGUUGAUUCAUCAAAGUGCACGUACAAAUGUCCAGGUUCAAACAAUGAUGUAUGUGGAGAAAGAUCUCAUUUUACAGUAUACAAGCACAUUACCGGAAAAUUACAACCCAAAAGUGAUGUCGAUCAAAAACUUGCCUGUUCCGUUAUUGUGCCUAGAAAUGAUACGUUUGUAUUGAAAGUUGUUGACUGCUAUUCAAAAUACUGGACAAUAUGUGUAAUAUAUGGAGUUACUAGACAAAUGGGAUUCACAGAAACUUAUCAGUUGGCAAUUAGUAGGUGUUCCUCGUUAAAUGGGACAAUACUUAGCAUCUUCGACAAUCUUGAUAAUUUGGAGGAUGGAACAGAGAACUGGUCUAAUAUCUUUAGAUCCAGGUUUCUGAAAUGGAUAACUAAUGAAUCAUUCGAUGAAA